GAUGAACGCUGGCGGCGUGCCUAAUACAUGCAAGUCGAACGAAGAUCUAGCUUGCUAGAUCUUAGUGGCGAACGGGUGAGUAAUACAUAAAUAAUCUGCCCAUAUGACUGGGAUAACUAUUGGAAACGAUAGCUAAUACCGGAUAGGUUGAUCGGAGGCAUCUCUGAUGAAUUAAAGUAGGAUUUCUACACAAAUGGAUGAGUUUAUGGCGCAUUAGUUAGUUGGUGGGGUAACGGCCUACCAAGACGAUGAUGCGUAGCCGACCUGAGAGGGUGACCGGCCACACUGGGACUGAGACACGGCCCAGACUCCUACGGGAGGCAGCAGUAGGGAAUUUUCGGCAAUGGGCGCAAGCCUGACCGAGCAACGCCGCGUGAGUGAUUAAGGCCUUCGGGUUGUAAAGCUCUGUUGUAAGGGAAGAACAUUCAGGAUAGGAAAUGAUCUUGAACUGACGGUACCUUGCCAGAAAGCCACGGCUAACUACGUGCCAGCAGCCGCGGUAAGAC
rnacentral:rRNA from 1 species